AUGCCGGUGAAGAUACCGGCUACCUGCAGUAGGACGGAAAGACCCCGUGGAGCUUUACUGUAGCUUGGCAUUGGGUUCUGGCAAUGUGUGUAUAGGAUAGUUGGGAGACUGUGAUGCAAUGGCGUCAGCCAUUGCUG
rnacentral:rRNA from 1 species